UGGCGGACGGGUGAGUAACGCGUAAGAACCUGCCCUUGGGAGGGGAACAACAGCUGGAAACGGCUGCUAAUACCCCAUAGGCUGAGGAGCAAAAGGAGGAAUCCGCCCAAGGAGGGGCUCGCGUCUGAUUAGUUAGUUGGUGAGGCAAUGGCUUACCAGGCGACGAUCAGUACCUGGUCCGAGAGGAUGAUCAGCCACACUGGGACUGAUACACGGCCCAAACUCCUACUGGAGGCAGCAGUGGGGAAUUUUCCGCAAUGGGCGAAAGCCUGACGGAGCAAUGCCGCGUGAAGCUGAAUGCCUACGGGUCAUGAAC
rnacentral:rRNA from 1 species